UACGUAGGGUGCGAGCGUUAAUCGGAAUUGCUGGGCGUAAAGCGUGCGCAGGCGGCGCGUUAAGACAGGUGUGAAAGCCCCGAGCUUAACUUGGGAAUUGCGCUUGUGACUGGCGGGCUGGAGUGUGGCAGAGGGAGGUGGAAUUCCACGUGUAGCAGUGAAAUGCGUAGAGAUGUGGAGGAACACCGAUGGCGAAGGCAGCCUCCUGGGCCAGCACUGACGCUCAUGCACGAAAGCGUGGGGAGCAAACAGG
rnacentral:rRNA from 1 species